UUCCGGCUGAAUCAAGUGUUCGCGAGUUCGUAUUGACCUGGGGAGUCGAGGCGGCUUCCAUAAAUCGUGGGAUUGGAUCCCGAGCAUCGUAACAGAAAACCGAAGACCUAUAAUUCUCGGAUCGCGAAGCGGAGGUCAUUCGGUGGUCGCGCGUGAAUAGGGUCGAGCCGAGCGGCGUGCGCCGCGGGAGGCCGAUUGCGAGUGACGACGAGCAAUCGGAACGCUGUAAAAAGGUACACACGUGAGCGGACCGGCAGGUGAUCGCGGUAAGGGCGUAGCGCCCUAGCUAGCUAGUAGAGCUUUCCUAUUGUACUAGAGCACCCUCGUGUGCAUGGUUAUAGAUGACAUGAUGUAUUUUGGAUAGCUAGCAUUAUGUAUAUGUGAUAUGAUUAUGUAUUCAUUUUGGAAGCUUAAAUGUAAUCAAGUUGUAUUAAAGGUUGAA